UAAGAUGCUCAUGAAAUGCAGGUAGAAAGGUCAAUAGGCAGUUCUGGACCCAGGGAGGGAGCCAGGCUAGUAGACACACACAUUUGACAAUCAUCGGCAUUUGGAUGGUGUUGAAAGCCACACGGUCAGAUGAUUCUUUAAGGAGAGGGGAUAGAUAAGGAGGGGAUGAAGGCUGGCCCCUCUAGGAAGCGGCCAGAGAGCCGAGGAGGGAGCUGUGAAGGUGCUGAGAAGCAGCGGCCAGCAAGGCGGGAGGAAAACAUGGGGAAUGGGACGGGCUGGGGCCACAUCAAGUAAGAACUCAGCCUGCCUCGUACUCCUCCCAACUCACCAGGGGAAGGGGAGGAGGAAAAGAAGCAGGUGGCUCCACCGCACUGGAUUUUCUCCAGCAGCACUGAUACUGUCCGAGGUGUGAGCGCAAACCCAAGCACCUGAUUGACCCAGAGCGGAACUGAAGAUCCUACUAAUACAAAGGGAUGGAGGCCAACCUGGAUUUACAGAUGAGGCUCUUUCAAAGAGCCAAUGCCUGACAGAGCUCCAGCUGAAGAAAAUGGUUCCUGAAGCCCUGGGGCUUUCAACAUCCCAGAGGCCUUAAGUGAAACCUGUCAAUAACAACUGUCUAUGUUGUAUGCAAAUGAUGAUCGCCAGAGGAUACUGUUUUGACCUGUCAUACUGAAAAAGACCCAGCAAAAAAGGUAGGGCUAGUGUGGGGUCAUCUCUGGGUGAAAUGGAUAUCAUGUACUGCUGCUAGAAGAAUCAGUUGGCUCACUUUCUAAAAGAGCAUUUUGUGCUAGGUACUAAAAUCCUAGAAAUGUACCUAUUUUUGACCUAAGAAUUCUGAUGUUCAGGUCUAGUAUAGGCUGCCCAAGAGGGACCUGUAGAAUAAAUUACCAAGUUAAAAGAACCCAUUUACAUAACGUUAAGAAGAAUACCUAAGUUGAGAGUAUUUGUGCCAUUUUCACCACAAUUCUAGUUCUAUGUUGGAGGGAUCUGGCAAGCACUACCCCUUAUUAUUAUAGCAAAAAUAAUUGCUUUUGUAUUUUUGGCUUGCACUUUGUGUAGUAAAUGUACCCUGGAAAAGAUAUACAUUGCAAUCAAAUGAAUAAACCGCACCCACCUCACCUCCACUGACUAUAUGCUCCUCAAGGGCCAGGAUUUAUAUUUGUUUUGUUUACUAUUUUGUCCCUAUUACCUGGAUCAGUGACUGCAAUAAAUACUUGUUGAAUGAACUAAUGAAUAAGCAUCUAAUGACGGGAAAGAAAAGAAAAUCACUCCUGCACUUCCUUUUUCCUGUGAGUGUUAUGGCUAUAAAAUACUAUAAAGAUGAGUGCUUUAUACAUUUUAACUCAUAAUACGUUUUAACUCAUACGUAAGUGUAUGGCUUAA